GGUGGAGUGAUUGAUAGUUCUUAUUCAAGAACUCCCAUGCCUAUGGGACACCCGCAGAGAAGUGUACCAUGCGAAGAAGGAUCGCUGCUAGGAAGAAAUUGCGGCAGAUUUGAUCCCAUCUGCCCGGGAAUCGGCAAACAUCGCCAAAAGAGAAAAAAAUCUUAAAGGAUUUAAAGAAAAGGUGGUACUCCUGCCGGGAUCAAUUCAGGAGGGAGCUAAACCAAAAAUUGCAUAGUGGGGAUGGAUUAUUAAAAAAGAAACCUUACCUCUACACAACUUGUACAAAUCACAUGAUCAUUACAGCACUCUGGACAAUCUUUCGUCUGAACCCAACAAAUGAAAUCCAGAGGGCAGAGGUGAAGUGUCAACUGAACAAUCUUUAAAUGUGGAAGAGCCGACGGAACCCGAGAAAAUGCCACCACCUAAUGAGGCCAUUACAGAAACUAAUCUGGUUUCGGAAGAGCGUGCUUGCCUUUCAGCAGGUAGACGAUGACACAGACCAGUGGCCAAUUCCGAAGUAGAUGUUCGAGGCCUGAUUGAUGCUCGGGUUCUGAAUAUCUAAAUCGGAAUCGGUCUGAUACAUAUGAGGAAAGGGUUUUAAAAAGUCUAGGGCCCUAUUUAGCUAGCGUGUCUACUGAACGGCAAUCACGAUGCGUUUCUGCUUUGGCCUUAUUACUAAACCUAUAUGAGCAUCCAGAAGAACCCAUUGAGGUAAUUCACACAAUUGCGGCUGUUCGGGAUAGACAUAUAAAUGUAGCAACUCCCAGUUCACAGGUCCCUCGACCAGACCCACCA